rnacentral:rRNA from 1 species
UGGGGAAUAUUGCGCAAUGGGCGAAAGCCUGACGCAGCAACGCCGCGUGAGGGAUGAAGGCUUUUGGGUCGUAAACCUCUGUCAAAUGGGAAGAAUUCUGACGGUACCAUUAAAGGAAGCCCCGGCUAACUCCGUGCCAGCAGCCGCGGUAAUACGGAGGGGGCAAGCGUUGUUCGGAAUCAUUGGGCGUAAAGAGUAUGUAGGCGGCUAUUUAAGUCAGGCGUGCAAGCCCACGGCUCAACCGUGGAAUUGCGUUUGAAACUAUUUAGCUUGAGUUCAGGAGAGGAAGGCGGAAUUCCCAGUGUAGCGGUGAAAUGCAUUGAUAUUGGGAAGAACACCGGUGGCGAAGGCGGCCUUCUGGUCUGAUACUGACGCUGAGAUACGAAAGCCAGGGGAGCGAACGGG